AACGAACGCUGGCGGCAUGCCUAACACAUGCAAGUCGAACGAGAUCCUUCGGGGUCUAGUGGCGCACGGGUGCGUAACGCGUGGGAAUCUGCCCUUAGGUUCGGAAUAACAGUUAGAAAUGACUGCUAAUACCGGAUGAUGACGUUAAGUCCAAAGAUUUAUCGCCUGAGGAUGAGCCCGAGUAGGAUCAGCGAGUGGGUGUGGUAAAGGCGCACCAAGGCGAGGAUCCUUAGCUGGUCGGAGAGGAUGAUCAGCCACACUGGGACGGGGACACGGCCCAGACUCUUACGGGAGGCGGCAGUGGGGAAUAUUGGACAACGGGCGCAAGCCUGAUCCAGCAAUGCCGCGUGAGUGAUGAAGGCCUUAGGGUUGUAAAGCUCGUUUACCCGAGAUGAUAAUGACAGUAUCGGGAGAAUAAGCCCCGGCUAACUCCGUG
rnacentral:rRNA from 1 species